rnacentral:rRNA from 1 species
CUCCUACGGGAGGCAGCAGUGGGGAAUAUUGGGCAAUGGGGGAAACCCUGACCCAGCAACGCCGCGUGAGGGAAGAAGGUUUUCGGAUUGUAAACCUCUGUCCUUGGUGAAGAAGGAAGUGACGGUAGCCAAGGAGGAAGCCCCGGCUAACUACGUGCCAGCAGCCGCGGUAAUACGUAGGGGGCAAGCGUUGUCCGGAAUGACUGGGCGUAAAGGGCGUGUAGGCGGCAGAUUAAGUCUGGAGUGAAAGUCCUGCUUUCAAGGUGGGAAUUGCUUUGGAAACUGGUUUGCUUGAGUGCGGAAGAGGUAAGUGGAAUUCCCAGUGUAGCGGUGAAAUGCGUAGAGAUUGGGAGGAACACCAGUGGCGAAGGCGACUUACUGGGCCGUAACUGACGCUGAGGCGCGAAAGCGUGGGGAGCGAACAGGAUUAGAUACCCUGGUAGUCCACGCUGUAAACGAUGAAUGCUAGGUGUUGCGGGUAUCGACCCCUGCAGUGCCGGAGUAAACACAAUAAGCAUUCCGCCUGGGGAGUACGGCCGCAAGGUUGAAACUCAAAGGAAUUGACGGGGGCCCGCACAAGCAGCGGAGCAUGUUGUUUAAUUCGAUGCAACGCGAAGAACCUUACCAUGUCUUGACAUUGAAGUAAACUGCUAGAGAUAGCAGGUGGAUUCGUCCAACUGAAAAACAGGUGGUGCAUGGUUGUCGUCAGCUCGUGUCGUGAGAUGUUGGGUUAAGUCCCGCAACGAGCGCAACCCUUAUGGUCAGUUACUAACGCGUAGAGGCGAGGACUCUGACAAGACUGCCGGGGACAACUCGGAGGAAGGUGGGGACGACGUCAAAUCAUCAUGCCCCUUAUGACAUGGGCUACAAACGUGCUACAAUGGCGACAACAAAGGGCAGCGAACUCGCAAGGGCAAGCGAAUCCCAAAAAAGUCGUCUCAGUUCGGAUUGUGGGCUGCAACCCGCCCACAUGAAGUCGGAGUUGCUAGUAAUCGCGGAUCAGAAUGCCGCGGUGAAUACGUUCCCGGGCCUUGUACACACCGCCCGU